rnacentral:rRNA from 1 species
AAUGAACGCUGGCGGCGUGCUUUACACAUGCAAGUCGAGCGAGGCCGGGUAGCAAUACCCGAGUCGAGCGGCGCACGGGUGAGUAACGCGUGGAUGAUCUGCCUUUGGGUGGGGGAUAACCCGGGGAAACUCGGGCUAAUACCGCGUAAAACCGCGAGGUCAAAGGGGGCCGCAAGGCUCUCGCCGAAAGAGGAGUCCGCGUCCGAUUAGCUAGUUGGCAGGGUAAUGGCCUACCAAGGCGACGAUCGGUAGCCGGCCUGAGAGGGUGAUCGGCCACACUGGAACUGAGACACGGUCCAGACUCCUACGGGAGGCAGCAGUGGGGAAUGUUGCGCAAUGGGCGAAAGCCUGACGCAGCAACGCCGCGUGGAGGAUGAAGGUCUUCGGAUUGUAAACUCCUGUCAGUGGGGAAAAAGGGGAACGGGCUCAUACCCCGUUUCAUUGAUUGUACCCGCAGAGGAAGCCCCGGCUAACUCUGUGCCAGCCGCCGCCGUAACAC